rnacentral:tRNA from 4 species
GGGCCCUUAGCUCAGGGGUUAGAGCAGUUGACUCAUAAUCAAUUGGUCGUAGGUUCGAAACCUACAGGGCCCA